ACGGAAGGCAGCAGUGGGGAAUAUUGCACAAUGGGGGAAACCCUGAUGCAGCGACGCCGCGUGAGUGAAGAAGUAUUUCGGUAUGUAAAGCUCUAUCAGCAGGGAAGAAAAUGACGGUACCUGACUAAGAAGCCCCGGCUAACUACGUGCCAGCAGCCGCGGUAAUACGUAGGGGGCAAGCGUUAUCCGGAUUUACUGGGUGUAAAGGGCGUGCAGCCGGGUCUGCAAGUCAGAUGUGAAAUCCACGGGCUCAACUCGUGAACUGCAUUUGAAACUGUAGAUCCUGAGUGCUGGAGAGGUAAUCGGAAUUCCUUGUGUAGCGGUGAAAUGCGUAGAUAUAAGGAAGAACACCAGUGGCGAAGGCGGAUUACUGGACAGUAACUGACGGUGAGGCGCGAAAGCGUGGGGAGCAAACAGGAUUAGAUACCCUGGUA
rnacentral:rRNA from 1 species